rnacentral:rRNA from 1 species
CGCGAACGCUGGCGGCAGGCUUAACACAUGCAAGUCGAGCGGGCGUAGCAAUACGUCAGCGGCAGACGGGUGAGUAACGCGUGGGAACAUACCUUUGGUUCGGAACAACACAGGGAAACUUGUGCUAAUACCGGAUAAGCCCUUACGGGGAAAGGAUUUAUCGCCGAAAGAUUGGCCCGCGUCUGAUUAGCUAGUUGGUGAGGUAACGGCUCACCAAGGCGACGAUCAGUAGCGGUCUGAGAGGAUGAUCAGCCACAUUGGGACUGAGACACGGCCCAAACUCCUACGGGAGGCAGCAGUGGGGAAUAUUGGACAAUGGGCGCAAGCCUGAUCCAGCCAUGCCGCGUGAGUGAUGAAGG